UGUGGAUGCUCAUGUGGGAACGCAGCUGAUACUUGUACUGAAACCUCUCAUCACAGUUCUCACAUCUGAAAGGCUUCUCUCCAGAAUGCUGUAGGGAAUGUACCUUGAGAGACAUACUGCGUUUGAAUGAUUUCCCACAGGUUUCACAUGUAAAAGGCAUGUCCUUUGUGUGUGCAACCAUAUGUUUCCGCACAUGGGCCAUGGUGUAGAACUUCUUUUCACAAAUCUCACAAGAGAAUUUCUUUUCUGCGUAUCCAUGGACAAUCUUGAUAUGCUCAUGGAGGGACCAGAGUUUCUUGAAUGACUUAUUACAGGAAACACACUCUACUAUAAUCUGCUCCCUUUUGUAAGUCACUUCAUCUUCCUCCUCUUCCUCCUCCUCAGAGUCGUCAGAGUUUUCUCUAUCUUCUUUCACAGCCCGGACUUCUCCUACUGAUCUGUUCUCCCUGAAAUACGGCUGCUCCUCUCUUUCAUGGAGAUGUGGUUUGCUCAUUUUGCUGUCCACCAACACUGGGUAAGGACUUCCUGACUCUCUCUUGUAUACUUUGGUGGACAGAUCAAGUUCCUGGCUGGCACCAUGAUAAAAUGUGGGUGGCACUUGACCACGGCGACUGUCCUCUUGCGCCAUACCUGCUACAUGCACAGCACAGUUUUCAACCAACUGUUGGCAAGAAUUGGCUGUUUGACUCAUCUGGGGGGGCC
rnacentral:lncRNA from 1 species